AUUGAACGCUGGCGGCAGGCCUAACACAUGCAAGUCGAGCGGAUGAAGGGAGCUUGCUCCUGGAUUCAGCGGCGGACGGGUGAGUAAUGCCUAGGAAUCUGCCUGGUAGUGGGGGAUAACGUCCGGAAACGGGCGCUAAUACCGCAUACGUCCUGAGGGAGAAAGUGGGGGAUCUUCGGACCUCACGCUAUCAGAUGAGCCUAGGUGGGAUUAGCUAGUUGGUGGGGUAAAGGCCUACCAAGGCGACGAUCCGUAACUGGUCUGAGAGGAUGAUCAGUCACACUGGAACUGAGACACGGUCCAGACUCCUACGGGAGGCAGCAGUGGGGAAUAUUGGACAAUGGGCGAAAGCCUGAUCCAGCCAUGCCGCGUGUGUGAAGAAGGUCUUCGGAUUGUAAAGCACUUUAAGUUGGGAGGAAGAGCAGUAAGUUAAUACCUUGCUGUUUUGACGUUACCAACAGAAUAAGCACCGGCUAACUUCGUG
rnacentral:rRNA from 1 species